rfam:Mesocricetus auratus contig197608, whole genome shotgun sequence.
UGGUCUAUGAUGACAAACAUAUGUCAUGAAGACAGGUGAUGGCAUAAAAAUCAUGCUCAGGUUCCGGAUGCUGAGGCCC